CAUUGUCUCUGCAAUUGCAUCAGCUAAAAACCCCUAAACACUCGAGUUGUCUUCUUGAAUGACUCAAGUUGCGAAUAUCUUAUUGUUUCAGUAUAGAUUGUAAUUAAAAUAGUCCAAAUAAAAUGGAAACAAGACAUUUGAUGAUUAAGGGAAUUGUGUUUAGAAGAAUUGUCUUGAUUAUGAAGUCAUAUAUUCUUCUAGCUCUUGGAGACAAUACCUAGAGAUAACUCAUGAAAAAGAACUUACCUUUCAUUACCAACCCAAU
rnacentral:misc_RNA from 1 species